rnacentral:rRNA from 1 species
UAGGGAAUUUUGCGCAAUGGGGGAAACCCUGACGCAGCAACGCCGCGUGAUUGAGACGCCCUUCGGGUGUAAAGAUCUGUCAGUGGGGACGAACGAUGACGGUACCCACAGAGGAAGCACCGGCUAACUCCGUGCCAGCAGCCGCGGUAAUACGGGGGGUGCGAGCGUUGUCCGGAAUCAUUGGGCGUAAAGAGUUCGUAGGCGGCACGUAAAGUCUGGUGUUAAAGGCGGAUGCUCAACAUCCGUACGGCACUGGAUACUUGCGAGCUAGAAUGCGGUAGAGGUAAAGGGAAUUCCUGGUGUAGCGGUGAAAUGCUUAGAUAUCAGGAGGAACAUCGGUGGCGUAAGCGCUUUACUGGGCCGUGAUUGACGCUGAGGAACGAAAGCCAGGUAGCAAAUGGGAUUAGAUACC